AGCGAACGCUGGCGGCAGGCCUAACACAUGCAAGUCGAACGAAGUCUUCGGACUUAGUGGCGGACGGGUGAGUAACACGUGGGAACGUGCCUUUAGGUUCGGAAUAACUCAGGGAAACUUGUGCUAAUACCGAAUGUGCCCUUCGGGGGAAAGAUUUAUCGCCUUUAGAGCGGCCCGCGUCUGAUUAGCUAGUUGGUGAGGUAAAGGCGCACCAAGGCUACGACCAGUAGCUGGUCUGAGAGGAUGACCAGCCACAUUGGAAGUGAGACACGGCCCAAACUCCUACGGGAGGCAGCAGUGGGGAAUCUUGCGCAAUGGGCGAAAGCCUGACGCAGCCAUGCCGCGUGGAUGAUGAAGGUCUUAGGAUUGUAAAAUCCUUUCACCGGUGAAGAUAAUGACUGUAGCCGGAGAAGAAGCCCCGGCUAACUUCGUGCCAGCCGCCGCGGUAAGAC
rnacentral:rRNA from 1 species